UACGGAGGGUGCAAGCGUUAUCCGGAUUCACUGGGUUUAAAGGGUGCGUAGGUGGGCAGGUAAGUCAGUGGUGAAAUCUCCGGGGCUUAACCCGGAAACUGCCGUUGAUACUAUCUGUCUUGAAUGUAGUGGAGGUGAGCGGAAUAUGUCAUGUAGCGGUGAAAUGCUUAGAUAUGACAUAGAACAUCGAUUGCGAAGGCAGCUCGCUACACUAUUAUUGACACUGAGGCACGAAAGCGUGGGGGAUCAAACAGG
rnacentral:rRNA from 1 species